rnacentral:misc_RNA from 1 species
GCAAACUUGGUCAUUUAGAGGAAGUAAAAGUCGUAACAAGGUUUCCGUAGGUGAACCUGCGGAAGGAUCAUUAAUGAAGUAUUGGGAGUUGUCGCUGACUCUAUUCGAGUAUGUGCACGCUCCCUCACUUUACUUACCACCUGUGCACCUUUUGUAGACUAGUGAUGUAUCUCAAUCGUUACGGUUGGAUUGGAGUUUGCACUUGUGCUCUCUCUGUUAUCGCUAGUCUAUGUUUAUAUACUCAAUGUAUGUCAAGCAUGUCAUUAAUAGGUCUUUGACCUUUAAUACAAUAUAACUUUCAACAACGGAUCUCUUGGCUCUCGCAUCGAUGAAGAACGCAGC